rnacentral:rRNA from 1 species
ACUCCUACGGGAGGCAGCAGUGGGAAUAUUGCACAAUGGGGGAAAGCCCUCGAUGCAGCCAUGCCGCGUGUGUGAAGAAGGCCUUCGGGUUGUAAAGCACUUUCAGUAGGGAGGAAGGUAGUGUAGUUAACACCUGCACUAUUUGACGUUACCUACAGAAGAAGCACCGGCUAACUCCGUGCCAGCAGCCGCGGUAAUACGGAGGGUGCGAGCGUUAAUCGGAAUUACUGGGCGUAAAGCGUGCGCAGGCGGUCUGUUAAGCGAGAUGUGAAAGCCCCAGCUCAAGCCUGG